rnacentral:RNase_P_RNA from 1 species
UCAGGUGGCCAGACGACCGCUGGUCCCCGCUGCGAGGCGGGGCUGGAGGAAAGUCCGGGCUCCACGGGAAAACGGUGCCGGCUAACGGCCGGCGAGGGCGACCUCAGGGACAGUGCCACAGAGAGCAGACCGCCCGCGCACCGCAAGGUCCGCGGGUAAGGGUGAAAGGGUGCGGCAAGAGCGCACCGCGCCCCCGGCAACGGGGGCGGCAUGGUAAACCCCACCGGGAGCAAGGCCGAAUAGGGGUGGUCGGCGGCGUUCCUUCGGGAGCGUGACGCGAGGGCCUUCCCGCCCCACCACCCGGGUUGGCCGCGUGAGGUACGCCGCGAGGCGUGCCCCAGAGGAAUGGUCGUCACAUCCCCGGCUUGCCGGGGGUGGACAGAACCCGGCUUACCGGCCACCUGGCGCA